rnacentral:rRNA from 1 species
UUGAAGUUUUUCGAUCGUAAAGCUCUGUGGUAGGGAAGAACAAGGGCAAGAGUAACUGCUUGCACCUGACCGUACCUAACCAGAAAGCCACGGUUAAGUACGUGACAGCAGCCGCGGUAAUAUGUAGGUGGCAAGCCUUGUCCGGAAUUAUUGGGCGUAAAGGGCUCGCAGGCGGUUUCUUAAGUCUGAUGUGAAAGCCCCCGGCUCAACCGGGGAGGGUCAUUGGAAACUGGGAAACUUGAGUGCAGAAGAGGAGAGUGGAAUUCCACGUGUAGCGGUGAAGUGCGUAGAGAUGUGGAGGAACACCAGUGGCGAAGGCGACUCGUGGUCUGUAACUGACGCUGAGGAGCGAAAGCGUGGGGAGCGAACAGGAUUAGAUACCCUGGUAGUCCACGCCGUAAACGAUGAGUGUUAAGUGUUAGGGGGUUUCCGCCCUUUAGUGCUGCAGCUAACGCAUUAAGCACUCCGCCUGGGGAGUACGGUCGCAAGACUGAAACUCAAAGGAAUUGACGGGGGCCCGCACAAGCGGUGGAGCAUGUGGUUUAAUUCGAAGCAACGCGAAGAACCUUACCAGGUCUUGACAUCCUCUGACAACCCUAGAGAUAGGGCUUUCCCUUCGGGGACAGAGUGACAGGUGGUGCAUGGUUGUCGUCAGCUCGCGUCGUGAGAUGCUGGGUUAAGUCCCGCAACGAGCGCAACCCUUGAUCUUAGUUGCCAGCAUUCAGUUGGGCACUCUAAGGUGACUGCCGGUGACAAACCGGAGGAAGGUGGGGAUGACGUCAAAUCAUCAUGCCCCUUAUGACCUGGGCUACACACGUGCUACAAUGGACAGAACAAAGGGCUGCGAGACCGCAAGGUUUAGCCAAUCCCACAAAUCUGUUCUCAGUUCGGAUCGCAGUCUGCAACUCGACUGCGUGAAGCUGGAAUCGCUAGUAAUCGCGGAUCAGCAUGCCGCGGUGAAUACGUUCCCGGGCCUUGUACACACCGCCCGUCACACCACGAGAGUUUGCAACACCCGAAGUCGGUGAGGUAACCUUUAUGGAGCCAGCCGCCGAAGGUGGGGCAGAUGAUUGGGGUGAAGUCGUAACAAGAGCCUCGC